UUAAUGGCAGUUAGAAUCAAAUUUUUAACUCAAGAAGGCAGAAGGAAUCCACCUAAAUAAAUGUUGGAAAGUCACCAAAAAUAGUUCUCCAAGUCAGAAGCGGUGCAAAAGCUGCCUCAGCUCUUGGUGGAUUUUCAAUUUCUCCCAGCCAUCUCUGUUUCGCUAAAGGUUUCUGAAGACAGUGGAAUGCUGUUGAAGACACCACCUUGAUAAAACAAAA
rnacentral:lncRNA from 10 species